GGUUAAGCGACUAAGCGUACACGGUGGAUGCCCUGGCAGUCAGAGGCGAUGAAGGACGUGCUAAUCUGCGAUAAGCGUCGGUGAGGUGAUAUGAACCGUUAUAACCGGCGAUUUCCGAAUGGGGAAACCCAGUGUGUUUCGACACACUAUCAUUAACUGAAUCCAUAGGUUAAUGAGGCGAACCGGGGGAACUGAAACAUCUAAGUACCCCGAGGAAAAGAAAUCAACCGAGAUUCCCCCAGUAGCGGCGAGCGAACGGGGAGGAGCCCAGAGCCUGAAUCAGUGUGUGUGUUAGUGGAAGCGUCUGGAAAGGCGCGCGAUACAGGGUGACAGCCCCGUACACAAAAAUGCACAUAUUGUGAGCUCGAUGAGUAGGGCGGGACACGUGGUAUCCUGUCUGAAUAUGGGGGGACCAUCCUCCAAGGCUAAAUACUCCUGACUGACCGAUAGUGAACCAGUACCGUGAGGGAAAGGCGAAAAGAACCCCGGCGAGGGGAGUGAAAAAGAACCUGAAACCGUGUACGUACAAGCAGUGGGAGCCUCUUUAUGGGGUGACUGCGUACCUUUUGUAUAAUGGGUCAGCGACUUAUAUUCUGUAGCAAGGUUAACCGAAUAGGGGAGCCGAAGGGAAACCGAGUCUUAACUGGGCGUUAAGUUGCAGGGUAUAGACCCGAAACCCGGUGAUCUAGCCAUGGGCAGGUUGAAGGUUGGGUAACACUAACUGGAGGACCGAACCGACUAAUGUUGAAAAAUUAGCGGAUGACUUGUGGCUGGGGGUGAAAGGCCAAUCAAACCGGGAGAUAGCUGGUUCUCCCCGAAAGCUAUUUAGGUAGCGCCUCGUGAAUUCAUCUCCGGGGGUAGAGCACUGUUUCGGCAAGGGGGUCAUCCCGACUUACCAACCCGAUGCAAACUGCGAAUACCGGAGAAUGUUAUCACGGGAGACACACGGCGGGUGCUAACGUCCGUCGUGAAGAGGGAAACAACCCAGACCGCCAGCUAAGGUCCCAAAGUCAUGGUUAAGUGGGAAACGAUGUGGGAAGGCCCAGACAGCCAGGAUGUUGGCUUAGAAGCAGCCAUCAUUUAAAGAAAGCGUAAUAGCUCACUGGUCGAGUCGGCCUGCGCGGAAGAUGUAACGGGGCUAAACCAUGCACCGAAGCUGCGGCAGCGACACUAUGUGUUGUUGGGUAGGGGAGCGUUCUGUAAGCCUGUGAAGGUGGCCUGUGAGGGUUGCUGGAGGUAUCAGAAGUGCGAAUGCUGACAUAAGUAACGAUAAAGCGGGUGAAAAGCCCGCUCGCCGGAAGACCAAGGGUUCCUGUCCAACGUUAAUCGGGGCAGGGUGAGUCGACCCCUAAGGCGAGGCCGAAAGGCGUAGUCGAUGGGAAACAGGUUAAUAUUCCUGUACUUGGUGUUACUGCGAAGGGGGGACGGAGAAGGCUAUGUUGGCCGGGCGACGGUUGUCCCGGUUUAAGCGUGUAGGCUGGUUUUCCAGGCAAAUCCGGAAAACCAAGGCUGAGGCGUGAUGACGAGGCACUACGGUGCUGAAGCGACAAAUGCCCUGCUUCCAGGAAAAGCCUCUAAGCAUCAGGUAACAUCAAAUCGUACCCCAAACCGACACAGGUGGUCAGGUAGAGAAUACCAAGGCGCUUGAGAGAACUCGGGUGAAGGAACUAGGCAAAAUGGUGCCGUAACUUCGGGAGAAGGCACGCUGAUAUGUAGGUGAAGCGACUUGCUCGUGGAGCUGAAAUCAGUCGAAGAUACCAGCUGGCUGCAACUGUUUAUUAAAAACACAGCACUGUGCAAACACGAAAGUGGACGUAUACGGUGUGACGCCUGCCCGGUGCCGGAAGGUUAAUUGAUGGGGUUAGCGGUAACGCGAAGCUCUUGAUCGAAGCCCCGGUAAACGGCGGCCGUAACUAUAACGGUCCUAAGGUAGCGAAAUUCCUUGUCGGGUAAGUUCCGACCUGCACGAAUGGCGUAAUGAUGGCCAGGCUGUCUCCACCCGAGACUCAGUGAAAUUGAACUCGCUGUGAAGAUGCAGUGUACCCGCGGCAAGACGGAAAGACCCCGUGAACCUUUACUAUAGCUUGACACUGAACAUUGAGCCUUGAUGUGUAGGAUAGGUGGGAGGCUUUGAAGUGUGGACGCCAGUCUGCAUGGAGCCGACCUUGAAAUACCACCCUUUAAUGUUUGAUGUUCUAACGUUGGCCCGUAAUCCGGGUUGCGGACAGUGUCUGGUGGGUAGUUUGACUGGGGCGGUCUCCUCCUAAAGAGUAACGGAGGAGCACGAAGGUUGGCUAAUCCUGGUCGGACAUCAGGAGGUUAGUGCAAUGGCAUAAGCCAGCUUGACUGCGAGCGUGACGGCGCGAGCAGGUGCGAAAGCAGGUCAUAGUGAUCCGGUGGUUCUGAAUGGAAGGGCCAUCGCUCAACGGAUAAAAGGUACUCCGGGGAUAACAGGCUGAUACCGCCCAAGAGUUCAUAUCGACGGCGGUGUUUGGCACCUCGAUGUCGGCUCAUCACAUCCUGGGGCUGAAGUAGGUCCCAAGGGUAUGGCUGUUCGCCAUUUAAAGUGGUACGCGAGCUGGGUUUAGAACGUCGUGAGACAGUUCGGUCCCUAUCUGCCGUGGGCGCUGGAGAACUGAGGGGGGCUGCUCCUAGUACGAGAGGACCGGAGUGGACGCAUCACUGGUGUUCGGGUUGUCAUGCCAAUGGCACUGCCCGGUAGCUAAAUGCGGAAGAGAUAAGUGCUGAAAGCAUCUAAGCACGAAACUUGCCCCGAGAUGAGUUCUCCCUGACUCCUUGAGAGUCCUGAAGGAACGUUGAAGACGACGACGUUGAUAGGCCGGGUGUGUAAGCGCAGCGAUGCGUUGAGCUAACCGGUACUAAUGAACCGUGAGGCUUAACCUUACAAC
rnacentral:rRNA from 1 species